rnacentral:rRNA from 1 species
UACGUAGGGUGCAAGCGUUGUCCGGAAUUAUUGGGCGUAAAGAGCUCGUAGGCGGUUUGUCGCGUCGGCCGUGAAAUCUCCACGCUUAACGUGGAGCGUGCGGUCGAUACGGGCAGACUUGAGUUCGGUAGGGGAGACUGGAAUUCCUGGUGUAGCGGUGAAAUGCGCAGAUAUCAGGAGGAACACCGGUGGCGAAGGCGGGUCUCUGGGCCGCAACUGACGCUGAGGAGCGAAAGCAUGGGGAGCGAACAGG